UCCCCCUGGCAGUAGGCAAGGAGACACUUGAUUGGUAGUGUUGCUCUUAUAUCAGUCAGGGCAAAGCAGAUGUAUAGACCUUAGUUCAUCCUAGCUUGAUGCCAGUGUUGGUGGCCAGAGCUGUUUUAUGCUUGAGGCACAUAA
rnacentral:snoRNA from 1 species